AAUUACCAAAAAAAAAAGAGGAAGAAGAUAUGGCUUCUAAUACAUUGAUGAGUUGUGGAAUUCCAGCUGUUUGCCCCUCUUUCCUCUCUUCUACCAAGUCCAAAUUCGCCGCCGCGAUGCCGGUGUCCGUUGGAGCUACCAACUCCAUGUCUCGGUUCUCCAUGUCAGCUGAUUGGAUGCCCGGGCAGCCCCGUCCAUCUUACCUCGACGGCUCAGCCCCCGGAGAUUUUGGAUUUGAUCCACUUGGUUUAGGAGAAGUACCUGCAAAUUUGGAAAGAUACAAAGAAUCUGAACUUAUUCAUUGCAGAUGGGCUAUGCUUG
rnacentral:misc_RNA from 1 species